CUCUCUGUGCCGACGCCCGGGAAUACGGCAAUCCACGUGUCAUUUCCAGCAAGCGCAGCCCCGAGCUUCAAUGUCACACUCGACAACAAUGGCGUUGUGAAUAAUAAAUUUAGCGCGCACCUGUAUCAAGGUUUACAACCGUUAAGAAUUGUCCUACCGCUAAAACAAAGAGGGAAGAAGACCGGUUGAAAAUGGCGUGGAGUCUCAUUUGCAUAAAGGCCCAGAAAUAGCUAAAUGUAUGAGCUCUGAAACCUGAAAACCUGUUCGCUGCUGACACUUUUGAAGUGAGACUUUUAUAUAUUCUAGAGGAAAGGACAACAAGUGUAUUCUGCAACAAUGUUUAUCGAAACGCUGGAGUUCACUAUUCCAAUAGAUCUGUGUGACCUAUUUUCCACUUUGAAGAAGGGGCCAAGAUCAAAUCUUGAAUUCCCAGCGUCAGUGAACUCAUAUGGUACAACGCAAGACGCCAGCAUUCAGGUGGCGUUAAGAUCAAAUAAAUUGACGUUCAAAGUGGACGGUGUGUCGUCUGAUGCAAGUAUGAUAUCUAAGAGUGAGUGUAAAACAUUAAAACUGUCCAUAUUUGAUGUGGAUCGCACACUAAUGCCUCAGGAAAGUUACUAUCAUGAAGAACCCACACAUUCAGUUUCUAUGUCGUUUCCUGCCAAAAGAUCACGAGACUUUUCUGCUCCAGUGAAAUCACCUCCAUCAAAGAGCAGUAGAACUACUUAUUCAGAAUCCCCAAGGGGAAAUACACCAGUUCAGUAUCAUCAUCAGAAUAAUUCUCGUACCUCAGAACAGUCGCAUUCUAGACCUUCAAGUGACUCUCGUGUUAAUGUGAAACAAGAACCAGAAGAUCCAGAUUUAAUAGAAAUAGAACCAGACCCUGAACCUGACGACAUUGUGCCAAAGAAAGAGACGCCAUACAUGCAAAUAGAUUAUUCAUCCGAUGUACCUCAUACACAAACGUCCCAAGCAGCUUUAGAUCGACUCUCUCAUCCACAAUCAUCACAUUCUCAAUCACCCGGUUCUUCAUCAUCGUCCUUCCAUCAAAACGUUCCACAUGUGCCAGAUUACGCCGAACCCAGUACUAGUCAAGUUCAUCAUGGUGACCAAAGUGCAGAUGACUUUUUUAGUAUUCCAAGAACAAGACGAUAACGACUGUGAUAACGACAAUGAUGCAGAUUUUGACAAUGAAGGAAAAUAUGCUGUGGCUACUGCAGUUAGGCAUUUGAGUCAUUUCCGUCAUCCUGGACAGGAUCAGUUUUGUUACCCUGGUAGACCAUUUAGUGCCAGCAGUGACAGAUCAGUUGGAGGCACCGCCUUGAAGCAGUACCCAUGUCCACAAUGUGACAAGGUCUUUGCUAAUUAUGGCUCCCGGUGGCAUCACAUUUCUGCCAUUCACAAGAAAGUCACCUACUCGUGUGUUUGUGGGAAGUUUUACAGUUAUAAGCACAAUUUGCUCUCUCAUCAGAGAUCCUGUGUGCAGUGUUUCAAACAGUGAGAAUAGGAAUUUCCAUGGGAGGACCUUUGUGUCAGGAAAAUGGACAAUGGUUUCUUGAAUACCUCAAACUAACUCCUUGUUCAGGUUCCACAACAGCUUCAUUCUGGGAUGUUCUCAGUAGUCCUGAGUGGUCAGUCUUCACUAGAGUUAGUUUGACAUUCACCAGUUGAGGUUUUGUUAUCAAGAUUUUUCAAUUGUAUGGGUAUGUUAGAGAAUGUUUUGUGGAUUCCGCUAGAACACUCUCUUCUUUGUUGUUUCAGGAGGAUUUUGUCAUGGUGAUAUGACGACCUUUCAGCAAGGUCAUCCAUUCGUAAAAGGACCCGGUCAGCUUCUCAACCUGUUCACUCAUAGACUCCCUAUUACCAAUAGGAUGGCAAAUCCUCCUCCAGCAGAGACAAAACAGUUUCCCUGCCCACAGUGCACUAAGGUCUUCAAUAACCAUGGUUCUCGAUGGCAUCACAUUGCAGCUAUCCACAAGAAAAUAACCUUCACAUGCUUGUGUGGAAAGGUGUACAGCUACAAACACAAUCUUCUGUCCCACCAAAGGUCUUGUUCUGCUUGUUUGAAGUUGUAGCUUACUCUGGUUGAGUUCAUUGAUGGAGAAACAAUUCUGGUUUGAAAAUUCCAAGGCUGGGGUGAUUUCAUGGAGAGACACUUGAGUUUGUUGUUUGUUAUUUUUUGUUACGGGAGAUAAAUGAUUUUAGUUCCGUGAGCCAUGUGUGGCUGAUUUUAAGACUGUUGAUUCUGUUUGUGUUCGCAGAGACUUUAAUUAACAAAACUGAACUGAUGGUGUUCAUGUUUACUUUUGAAUCUGCCUGUGUUUAUGGUUCUUUGGGACUAUAGAUUUUGUUCUUGUUCAGGGUGAUCUCACACUUUUUCUGCAUUCUACCUCAGUUAUAAUCAAACUGUUCAAGAUGUCUGCAUCUCUUGGUCAGACGAACUGGAACGAAGUUUUCUUCAUGUUAUCAUAAAAAUAUGAUAUCAGAUAUCAGAUUUAUGCUCAUUUUGGCUGAGGCCCAUCAUGGUCAAACUUGAAGUUAUCCAAUUAUUGGUACAUUUACUUCCAGAAUCAAACUGAUUUCAAAUCACCUUCCAAACUCUUUCCACGUUCACAGCGAUAAAAUGUUCACUUCUAAAGGAUCACAAUGGCAUCAAGUCACAGCAAUUCAUAAAAAAAGAUGACUUUUGAAUGUGUCUGUGGAAAGUCAUAUUGCUACAAGUCAAAUGUAUUGGCUCACCAUAGGUCUUGUUAUGCCUGUUUGAAUGUCAACCAGACGUUGCUCACUUCCUUGGAGAAGAGUUUUGUGGCUUUAGUUGUAGGAGUCCUAAUCAAUGGAACAUUGUGUCAUCCACACACAUCCCAACAGCUCUACCUCAGUAGUAAUCAAACUGUUCAAGAUGUCUGCAUCUGAUGAACUAGAACAAACUUUUCUUUAUGUUUUCAGGAAAAUAUGAUGGCUGUGAUGUCGUGGACAUGAGCACAUUUUGGCAAGAGGCCCAUCAUAUGCCGAACUUACAGUUAGCCAAUUUUAGGAAUAGAAACUUUCAGACUCAUACUAGUUCCAAAUCACCGUCAAAACUCUUUCCAUGUUCACAGUGUGACAAAGUGUUUGCGAAUAAAGGAUCACGUUGGCAUCAUGUUACUGCAAUUCAUAAAAAGAUAACAUUUGAAUGUGUGUGUGGAAAGUCUUAUAGCUACAAACAUGGGCUCUUGUUUCAUCAGCGUACUUGUUGUAUUUCUCAGGGACAAACUAAGUAGGUAUUAAGUUGACCAGUCAUCUUGUUGCAGCUUCCUUUAAUGUUUGGGUUCAGUGGAUUGCAUAUCAGGAAAAAAUGGAUUCCAUCUGCUUUCCCACCUGUGUUCGUUUGUUAGUCCAAAACAAAUACUGACUCAUCAAACUUGUUUGCAUCUAAAUAGUGUAUUUUCGAAGCACGUGUCAUUCAUUUGAAUAAGAACAGGGUUUUCUUUGUGUUUUCAGAUAGUUUCGGUGGCAGUGGUGAACCUGGUGAUUUGAACAUCUUUCAUCGUGACCAUGUUAGCGGGUUUGCUCAGUUUUAUGUUAGGCCAAUGGUUGUAGGUGCUGCCAAGUCUUUUCCGUGUUUCGAGUGUGAUAAGGUGUUUGCAAGUCGCGGAUCCCGAUAUAAUCAUAUAGCUGCGAAACACAAGAACGUGAUCUAUCCAUGUGUUUGUGGCAAAGAAUUCAGCUAUAAACACCAUCUUUUAUCGCAUCAGAAAACAUGUCUGGACCUUCCAAAAACUUAGAAAGUGGCGUAGAGGGUGUCUUUGGAUACAUAGUUCCUGGUCAGGAGUCUGUUUCCAGUUCCUUUCUUGUUCACAGUGUGAUAAAGUGUCUGCAAAUAAAGGUUCACAUUGGAAUCAUGUUGCUGCAAUUCUUGAAGAAAUACAUGUGAUUGUGUCUGUGGAAAGUAGUACAGCAACAAACAUGGUCAGUUGUUUCAUCAGUGCACUUACUGUAUUUCAUGGAGAAAGUAAGCAGGUAUUGGGAUAGACAGACUUGGGUCCUUAUUGCCGUACCAUUUCAUCCAGUUAGAUUGGUUCCGUGUGUUCAUUUGUCAUGAUCACAAGGUUUGGCGUCCAUUUUCUAUCCCACCUCUGAGCAUUUUACUGUUUCGUCCAAUCACAACUCCUGACUUGUCCCACUUGUUAGUGCCUGGUUUUCUGCGAAAUUGGUAUCUUCAUUUGAAUAAGAACAGGAUUUUCUUUGUGAUUUCAGAUAGUUUCGGUGGCAGUGGUGAAGCUGGUGAUUUGAACAUCUUUCAUGCCGAGCAUGUUAGCGGGUUUGCUCAGUUUUAUGUUAGGCCAAGAUUAGCAGGUGCUGCCAAAUGUUUUCCAUGUUGUGAAUGUGGUAAAGUAUUUGCAAGUCAUGGAUCUAGAUGGAAUCACAUUGCUGCAAAACACAAGAACGUGACCCACCCAUGUGUUUGUGGGAAAGUAUUUAGCUAUAAACACCAUCUUUUAUCUCAUCAGAAAACAUGUCCGGAUUGCCAAAAGUAUUGAAGAUGGUCUUCCCCCAUGAGGAGUUGUUUGUUAAAGAGAUUGAUAAUCAGAUUUGAACAUUGUUAAUUUCUUUUGAUUUUCGUUCACAUGGUGAUCUUGUGAGCUUGGUGUAGCAGAGUUUUAGUUCAUUGAAAUCAUCUUUUGAAUGAAUGAUAAGGACAUUAUCAUAUCAUAACAUCAUGACUUGUUACAGCUGAAAAAUGAGGCACGUUUUUUAACUGAGAUCUGACAAUCCUGGACUAUGAAUAGUCACUGUUUGUUGUUGUUUUCCUGGAGGAAACUAUGUUUCAAAUAUGUACUUUGGUUUUGGGUAAGAUUGCAUUCUACCAUUAAAACUUCUACAUUAAAAGUCUUGCAGUGAACGGGAACUCAUGCAGAUGUCAUUCAGUGCACAGUUGUCAAACAUCUCUCAUUUACUACACAUUUCCAUUGUUUCUUGUGUUGGUGAAUGACGUUAAAUGUCAUGUGCUUUGUGAGAAUCCAAUUUUGUAUUGUUUCCUUGGUACUAAAGAUAUAUAGCAAGCAGUAUUGCAAACAAAUGAUCUGUAAAUACAAAGUUUAUGUUCAUGAAAGACCUGAGGCUCAAAUACAUUUGAUCAGCAGAGUUCAUGUUGAUUUUUGUAGUAUGUCUCAUAUUUGUUUCAUAAUAAAAUAUAAACAAUAA